GACGAACGCUGGCGGCGUGCUUAACACAUGCAAGUCGAACGCUGAAGCUCAGCUUUUGUUGGGUGGAUGAGUGGCGAACGGGUGAGUAACACGUGAGUAACCUGCCCCCUUCUUUGGGAUAACGCCCGGAAACGGGUGCUAAUACUGGAUAUUCACUGGUCUUCGCAUGGGGGUUGGUGGAAAGGGUUUUUCUGGUGGGGGAUGGGCUCGCGGCCUAUCAGCUUGUUGGUGGGGUGAUGGCCUACCAAGGCUUUGACGGGUAGCCGGCCUGAGAGGGUGACCGGUCACAUUGGGACUGAGAUACGGCCCAGACUCCUACGGGAGGCAGCAGUGGGGAAUAUUGCACAAUGGGCGCAAGCCUGAUGCAGCGACGCCGCGUGAGGGAUGGAGGCCUUCGGGUUGUGAACCUCUUUCGCUCAUGGUCAAGCCGCAACAAUGGUUGUGGUGAGGGUAGUGGGUAAAGAAGCGCCGGCUAACUACGCG
rnacentral:rRNA from 1 species